CCGCGCGCGUGUGUUGUAGCUCUGUCAAUCCUUGGAUUAGAACCAAUGACUGCUGCUUGUAGGAGGGCUGUCCAGGGCCAGAUUGUACAAUGGGCCUCAGUGCCAGAGUAUGAGUGGAGAUAAUUACGGAGAAGUCACACUCUCUCGCACCCUCCGCUUCCUUUUUGUGUCCUUCAGCAAAACAGUGGAUUUAAAUCUCCUCCUAGGAGCUUGAGAGCAACGCAAUCUAUCAGGGGGAAAAAAAAAGAAAAAGAAAGAAAGAAAGAAAAAAAACCCGAACCUGACAAAAAAGAAGAAAAAGAAGAGGAAAAAAAAAUCAUGAAAACCAUCCAGGCAAAAAUGCACAAUUCUAUCUCUUGGGCAAUCUUCACGGGGCUGGCUGCUCUGUGUCUCUUCCAAGGUAAGAGCUUGCUAUUGAUUUGCCUACGGUAGACCCAGGGAUUGUACAGUGUGCUUAAUAUGAUUCGCAGACUCCCGGAGUCGGUUCUGCUGCGCGGUUUGCAGGUGGAGGAGAGAGCGUUGAAACAGCAUGGCUGGGAC
rnacentral:lncRNA from 1 species